CCUACGGGAGGCAGCAGUGGGGAAUUUUGGACAAUGGGCGCAAGCCUGAUCCAGCAAUGCCGCGUGCAGGAUGAAGGCCUUCGGGUUGUAAACUGCUUUUGUACGGAACGAAACGGUUCUCUUUAAUACAGGGGGCUAAUGACGGUACCGUAAGAAUAAGCACCGGCUAACUACGUGCCAGCAGCCGCGGUAAUACGUAGGGUGCGAGCGUUAAUCGGAAUUACUGGGCGUAAAGCGUGCGCAGGCGGUUAUAUAAGACAGAUGUGAAAUCCCCGGGCUCAACCUGGGACCUGCAUUUGUGACUGUAUAGCUAGAGUACGGUAGAGGGGGAUGGAAUUCCGCGUGUAGCAGUGAAAUGCGUAGAUAUGCGGAGGAACACCGAUGGCGAAGGCAAUCCCCUGGACCUGUACUGACGCUCAUGCACGAAAGCGUGGGGAGCAAACAGGAUUAGAUACCCUGGUAGUCCACGCCCUAAACGAUGUCAACUGGUUGUUGGGUCUUCACUGACUCAGUAACGAAGCUAACGCGUGAAGUUGACCGCCUGGGGAGUACGGCCGCAAGGUUGAAACUCAAAUGAAAUUGACCGGNNGAGAGAGCGACGACGACGACGAGGGAGGAGG
rnacentral:rRNA from 1 species